AUUGAACGCUGGCGGCAUGCCUUACACAUGCAAGUCGAACGGCAGCAUGGAGAGCUUGCUCUCUGAUGGCGAGUGGCGAACGGGUGAGUAAAGCAUCGGAACGUACCGUGUAGUGGGGGAUAACGUAGCGAAAGUUACGCUAAUACCGCGUACGCACUGAGGUGGAAAGCAGGGGAUCGUAAGACCUUGCGCUAUACGAGCGGCCGAUGUCAGAUUAGCUAGUUGGUAGGGUAAAGGCCUACCAAGGCGACGAUCUGUAGCGGGUCUGAGAGGAUGAUCCGCCACACUGGGACUGAGACACGGCCCAGACUCCUACGGGAGACAGCAGUGGGGAAUUUUGGACAAUGGGGGCAACCCUGAUCCAGCCAUGCCGCGUGAGUGAAGAAGGCCUUCGGGUUGUAAAGCUCUUUCGGCCGGGAAGAAAUCGCACAGGCUAAUACCCUGUGUGGAUGACGGUACCGGCAUAAGAAGCACCGGCUAACUACGUGCCAGCCGCCGCCGUAA
rnacentral:rRNA from 1 species